rnacentral:rRNA from 1 species
UUCCAGACUCCUACGGGAGGCAGCAGUGGGGAAUAUUGCACAAUGGGGGAAACCCUGAUGCAGCAACGCCGCGUGAGUGAAGAAGUAUUUCGGUAUGUAAAGCUCUAUCAGCAGGGAAGAAGAAAGACGGUACCUGACUAAGAAGCCCCGGCUAACUACGUGCCAGCAGCCGCGGGAAUACGUAGGGGGCAAGCGUUGUUCGGAAUUACUGGGCGUAAAGGGAGUGUAGGCGGUUUAGUAAGAUAGUGGUGAAAUCCCAGAGCUUAACUUUGGAAUUGCCAUUAUAACUAUUAGACUAGAAUUACAGAGAGGAUAGUGGAAUACCCAGUGUAGAGGUGAAAUUCGUAGAUAUUGGGUAGAACGCCAGUGGCGAAGGCGACUAUCUGGCUGUACAUUGACGCUGAGGCUCGAAAGCAUGGGGAUCAAACAGGAUUAGAUACCCUAGUA